CAGGAACAUUACUUUACUCUGGGCAGAGUUUUUGCAUCAGCCAAGCACGUCCUGUUCAGCUAAGCAAAGGCAGAGACAAAAAUAGAGUACCCUAGCAGUCUGUACUUCCCAGUAAUUGCAGACCCCCAGCAGCCCAGCUGGUUGGCCCAGGCUAGAGGAGAAUGUUUCUCAGUGUUGUUAUAUUCCCAGCUCCCUGUGGAUGUUUCAUUACACUGCACUACUCUGUCCCCUCCACUGCAGCAUGCAAUGUGGGAAAUUUUGGAUGUCGCAGUCUGACACUGAUGAGUCAGGAAGCCCUGUGUUUGCUGAGCUCAAUGCAUUUCAGUAUUCUCCUCGAGCGCAGCAGGCUCUGUCUGCAUGCUCACAUUUCAUAGCUGUGAUGUACAUCUGAGACUUUUAGAUGUGGCAUUUCCUUCCCCUGCUCUGAGGAUGGACAUCAUCUGGAGGACACUGAUGCAGUAGAGGAUAACAUACCCGGUCACUUACACAAGAGGAAGAAAAAGAGGAAGAAGAAAGAAAGAAGAUGACAUGAAAAGAAGUAAGCAAUGUGCUUUCUGAUGUCUUCAUGUUCUCCUGAAUCAGGGUGAAAGGUUUAUUUCCAAUUCUUAAACUACUUGGGAGCACAGCAUUAAAGCUAGAUGUAGUAUUAAUGAUAAAUGUUAGCUCUCACCAUUCACUAAAGCGUUUCUUCCUGUCCCUUAUUUACUCCUUGCCUUCUGAGAGUGUGGGAGUCCAUCUUUCAUUCAAUUAUGGGUCUUCAUCAGCGUGUAGUGAUUGCCCUCUUCACCAAAUAUUCUAAGUGUCUCACUAUGCCUUAAAUGGAUCAAAGACAAUUUUCCCCAUUUUCCGUGUUCUGAAAUGGCUGUCGAGGAGCAUAGGAGGAGUGUGUCCCAGCUCCUCCCGAUCAGGCAGCAAUUAACAUACCAAGGACCAUGGCACACAGAACCUAGAGAAUGUGUGAAAUCUGAAAAAAACAUGGACUAAGGAGCAGAGGAAGUAGAGGGGGUAAUGAAGAAAGGCAAAGUCACAAUAGAAAGGAGUUCUUAAGCUUCUUAGAAAUAUACAUUGCAUUCACCAAAUUAUAUUGGGUGAAAAAAAACCAGAGAGAAUUUUUUAAAUUUAAAAUAUUUUGCUUUGACAGUCUUAACACAUACACAUGUUUUGGCAGAAAAAAAGUCUAUCAGCCUGAACUGCAUUUUUCCUGAUGCACUUUUUCCUCAGAUGAGCUACUGAAGAGGAAAAAAAGAUAAAUUUCUUCCUGCAGGUCUAGGCUACUCAAGCUGCAGGGAGUUGAAGGUGUACAUCUCCGUUUUGACAUCCUGGAUAUUCCCCAAACAUGCUGGGCUGACUUAGUGGCCAUCUGUCUGAAUUGACUGUGUUGUCCCCGGCUCAAAUGACCACCCAGCCUGAACUGUGCAAGGGGGGGCUGCCUGGCUGCGGUUAGUUUCUUCCCCAAAUAGCUCUAAAGUGUGGCUUGCUGUGUGCUUUAAGUAAAAUUAUGCUACUGUUCAGUCCUCCACUUGAUUAAAAUGUAUCUUUCAGCAUUUAAGGGUGGGCAGUGACUUCCUGGGAUUAGAAAGGGAAGUGAACUGGCAGAAAAGCAGCAAGGAAAGAAGUUGUUUACGAGUAGUGUGAGGGCAGAGUAGUCUGUGUUGCUGAAAUCUGGGUUUUGGCCACAUUACUCAACUCCAGUUACAGAUCUGCUAAAUUCACUCAGAGUCCCGUUUUCUUUCUUAAUAGUACACACAGGGACAUUUUUACCAGAAGAAUGAUUCAUCUGCUGUGGUAUUCCAGAUAAAUUUCAGGAGAGCAAGGCUCCCUUGGGCUGACAGUGUGAUCAUUUGCCGCAGGACAAAUGCCCUCACAGCCUGUCAAGUUGGCUGAACACAGGAUUCUCAAGAUUUGGACUUUUUCAACAUGUAAGAUUUCACUCAACAUAACAAUUUUUCUUCCCAUAACAAAUGUUUUGAACAGUUUUGGAAGUCCUUGCGUUCUCACGAUUGCAGCAGUGUGCCAUUCUCCCUGGGCUCCAGCUGCUGACAGAGAAGCUCCAUGCAGGGAUGCUUGUCAAGGAGAGGCAUCAAUAUCCACGGGAAGUACAAGUAUUAUAAACUCGUCAAUAUAGUCACUACUUAACAGGUCUGUGUGAAAUAAUUUAUAGAAAUGGAAGACUUGGCUGUUUUCAAGGCACAAGGGCUGCAGUGGCUGUCAGCUUAAUGAAAAAGUGUCGCUCUAGUCUCUGUUUCUGUUUCAAAAAGAAGUAAAUUGAUAAAACAAACCUAUUUCAAGUCUUUUAAUAAGGAAUUGUUUAAAGCGGUCAAAACAUUUGCUUCCUGAAAAAGAUAAGA